ensembl:rRNA 5S_rRNA 5S ribosomal RNA
GUCUAUGGCCAUACCACCCUGAAUGUGCCAGAUCUCCUCUGAUCUCGGAAGCUAAGCAGGGUUGGCCUGGAUAGUACUUGGAUGGGAGACUGCCUGGCAAUACUGGGUGCUGUAGGCU